rnacentral:snRNA from 1 species
AUGCCUUUCUCAGCCUUUUGGCUAAGAUCAAGUGUAGUAUCUGUUCUUAACAGUUUAGUAACAAAACUAAUAAAGUCAAAAUCGGAUUUCAAGUCGUACAUUGCAUGACAUCUUAGUGAUGUUACCUUUC